CCCUUUGACCUGUUUGCAUUUUCCCACUUCCCAUGGCUACUCUGCAGAAUUGGAGAAGUGGCUGGACUGCCUUUGCCGUCUCGCUUCCCCAGACUUGCCUAAGCAGGGCUCAUCACUCAUGUAACACAUUGCUCAGCAGAGUUUGAUUUCGAAUUGUUUUAACAUUAACAUCUUGAAACGCGAGUCUUUUAAAAGCGGCUUUUUGGCACUUGUGUCCAUUGAAUGAAUUCCAUUUUUAACAUUUUCUGUGUUGUGGAAGUUUUAAGGAAAUUAAUAUUUUCUAGUAUUAACUUGAUUUACCUGUUGUUUGAAAGAUUCUUGCAUUUUAAGGACUUUUUCCCCCCUUAAAGGAAACCCAUUAGUAUUGGGGGGACACAGAAUCUCUUUGUUAAACGUUGGGGGGGAAGCGCUUUGCUUUUUUAAUUUGGUGGGAAAUAUCAAAUUGACAUAUUUUCGCAAAUCUUUAUAGGAAAAUGUAAAAAGGAAAAUUCUGCUUUGAUGUACCUUUUUGAAGCUUGAGUUUGAGCUGACUGCACUUGAACAUAUCCUGAUUGAUCUCACCCGGAAGCUGACCUGGUACUUGGCUUCAGUCUAAAAAUAUCCAGUGAAAUUGACCUUGAACUUGAGAUGCACAGGCACAGAACUGCAGAGUUUCCUCCAGUUUAGCUCAUCCUUCACCUUAUCAUAGGAAUGUUGGUCAAAAUUGUUGCUGGUUUGAACAUCAAUAAAACUGUCAGUAUCACCUGUCUAAACCCCCGUUUUCUUCGAUGAACCAUGAAAUUGACUACUGCCUUCCCCCUCUCCCCUCAUAACAAUCCUGUCUCCAGUCCCACUCUUUCCUCAGCACAUGCCCACUGCAGAGGGAUCAGGAGUAUUGCCUCUAUGCCUCAAAAAUAAAUUCCGAAGCCAUAAAUUACUGCUAAA